rnacentral:rRNA from 1 species
GACGAACGCUGGCGGCGUGCUUAACACAUGCAAGUCGAACGGAAAGGCCCUGCUUUUGUGGGGUGCUCGAGUGGCGAACGGGUGAGUAACACGUGAGUAACCUGCCCUUGACUUUGGGAUAACUUCAGGAAACUGGGGCUAAUACCGGAUAGGAGCUCCUGCUGCAUUGUGGGGGUUGGAAAGUUUCGGCGGUUGGGGAUGGACUCGCGGCUUAUCAGCUUGUUGGUGGGGUAGUGGCUUACCAAGGCUUUGACGGGUAGCCGGCCUGAGAGGGUGACCGGCCCCAUUGGGACUGAGAUACGGCCCAGCCUCCUACGGGAGGCAGAAGUGGGGAAUAUUGCACAAUGGGCGGAAGCCUGAUGCAGCAACGCCGCGUGCGGGAUGACGGCCUUCGGGUUGUAAACCGCUUUCGCCUGUGACGAAGCGUGAGUGCCGGUACUGGGUAAAGAAGCACCGGCUAACUACGUG